rnacentral:rRNA from 1 species
AAAGAAGAACACGUAUGAGAGUAACUGUUCAUACGUUGACGGUAUUUAACCAGAAAGUCACGGCUAACUACGUGCCAGCAGCCGCGGUAAUACGUAGGUGGCAAGCGUUAUCCGGAUUUAUUGGGCGUAAGAGAGUGCAGGCGGUUUUCUAAGUCUGAUGUGAAAGACCUUCGGCUUAACCGGAGAAGUGCAUCGGAAACUAGGAUAACUUGAGUGCAGAAGAGGGUAGUGGAACGUCCAUGUGUAGCGGUGGAAUGCGUAGAUAUAUGGAAGGAACACCAGUGGCGAAGGCGGCUACCUGGUCUGCAACUGACGCUGAGACUCGAAAGCAUGGGUAGCGAACAGGAUUAGAUACCCUGGUAG